ensembl:lncRNA
UGUACUCUGCAAAGUGACUGCUGAGUUUUGGGAACACACUGACAAGACUACAACAAAGUUUGAUGGAGCCAGAAACACAAUUCAGCAAAAUUAUUCAAACUACUUUAGAGAGGUUCAAAGUGAAAGAGGCACUGAAGGACUGCUUCAAUCAAUUAACACAGAACUUAUUUGGAUUAAAGCUCUGGGGUUCCACUAUUCCAGCUGCAAUACAGCCAAUCAUAGCCACUAGACUCUGUGUGUGAAAUGUAGAUGCAAACAAUUAUGAGUAUGAAUAUAUAUUUAACAACUAAAACAGAGACAGAGUUUAAAAACAAUUUAACUGUGUAGAAGCACAAAAAUUAAAGAAAAAUGACUAAAUCUGUAAGCCGACAAAAUUAGGCUGACAACAUGAUUUGCUUUAGACACGCUCCUGGUGGAAUAUGCAGUUUCGGGAAAGAAAGGCUAAACAGAUGGCUUAAAUUUCUUGUGUGAAGUAAUGUGCAUCAGAAUGGCCAGAAAAACAUGUUGCAAACUGCAAAAUCCUACCAGAUGUAGUUGGCCAUCCAGGCAUUUUUGGCAUACUUCAUUUGAGAUACUGUGUAUUGGGGGGUGCUGAAUCUUUUUCUAGCUUACUAUAUUGUAGGUAGUAAAAAUAUUGGAACAUACCCCAAGUUUUAUUUAAAUUUGAUGCUGACUCAAGCGAAAGAUUCUGAUAGCAAGUGUUUUAAUAGGUGUUAAUUUAUCUAAAACUAUGAAUCACAUAAGCCAGGGUCAAUGAAAGCCUCCUUCACUGAGAGCUUGGAAAAAUCAGAAUUAGUGGAACAACAAGCUCAGUGAUAAUGCCGUGAACUGACUGUGAGCUAAGCUGUGUGGUUUAACAAUGACGAAAAGAAGAGAGAUCAAAGUUUCACCAAGCAGAUGGGUAGACUUGCUUUCUCUUCCAAAGAAGUUUGGUUAACAUGAAUGAUUGUUUACCACCUUGCUCACAGCUGCUGUACGGUGAAGCUGAGUCAUACAGACUGAAGCUUGUAAGUUUCCGUUCUAAUGUUUAAAUGCAGCACUUGUUUGAUAAUCUCUGCAGUGUGAACGUGAAAUAGUUACCGCAAAAAAUAUGUGUUCCUAUAAAAGCCACAGGAUUUCACUUUGGUUACAUGAACAUGCCUGACUAUCAGGUUUAUUUUCAAGAACAUCAUUGUAAAAUACAUCUCUUCUGCAGUGAUUUUGUGACGCAACUUGUACUCAGUCUGCUGCUGUAGCUGGUUUCUGAAAGUGUGUGUAGAGGUGUAUAAUGGAACUUUGCUUAAAAAUGAUUUGAAAAAUAAUGUGGUGGUAAUUCUGUGGAUGAAGUCUGGUAGAAAAGUUAAAAAUUUAUGUCGUCUUUUCUUAUUUCAAGCAUCCCUGUGGCUGUGUAGUGUGUUUCAUUGCAAGUACUCAGCUACCACAUACUAACCACACGUAGCCUGUCACAAACAGACAUCUCUUAACCAGUGUUGCCACAUUAGCUUUGAAAACGGCGCCCAAUCAGAGACUAGAACCCAUUGAGUCCACAUGAAAACAGUGCAAUUUUACUUCUACUUUUCAUCUGGUGGAUGUUUGUUUUUGGUCCAGUUUAUCUUAUAUAUACAGAAUUUAAAUAUCAUUCAAUAAUUUUAAUAUUAAGUGUUCAUUUAUAUGUACAGAAUUAAACUUGACUGAGAAACACAAAAUACAAUGCUGCUGUAAAAACAUCCCACUGCUUGCAACCCUCCAAAGGCUAAGUGGGGCAUUCCAUAAAAAAAAUCUAUCACUGCCUCCCGCAUCACCCCCUCAGAAUUACAUGAAAUUUUCAGCACAAUAAUUUUAGUAUAUCAACUAUAUAUGUCAAAAUGUUGCACUUUUUAAUUACAAUUACUUUUUCCAGGAUCGUUGAGCCUUCAUUCUACAAUCUACAAUUUCAUUUAGCAGAUGCUUUUAUCCAAAGCGACGUACAUCUGAGAGUAGAUACAGCACAAGAAGGGAUCUAACUGGGGGAAAACAACCUGGAUACGUGCCAUAAACAUCACUUCACAAGUACAGGAGAUGGAUACAUGAGAUUUUCAGGGCUGAAAAACACAUUUGAGUUCUGUUAAAAACUGCCACCAAAUCAAUCUGACAUCCCCUCCACUCACUAUCUAAAGCCAAAAUCUCAUUUUUGCUUGGCACAGUUUUUCUUUUUAACCAACUCUGAGCAUCAACAUCAUGGGAUAUAUCAUAGUUUCAGUAGAAAAACUACAAGAUUGUAUUGUUUAUAACACAGAGUGACAGUAAAAAGUACUGGCACCCUUGAUGUGUUUUCUGUUUUCUGAUAAUUCACUGCAGGAAAUUUUAAAAGGUGAAUUUUGUGUGAAGUCUCAAGGGUCAUCACCAUUUGGAACAUGGUGGUUGGUGGAAUAAAGUUAGAGCCUAAGAAAGAUCUUUUUCCUACAUUUUGACUUAUCUUCUAGUCAAAAUUCCUUCCCUGUCUCAACACUUUUCUAAUACAGUCAUAUUUUACCACCAAACUUUGGCCCACCACUAUGUAAUUUAAGAGCAUGUAAGUGUGAAAGUAUUAAUUGUAUGAAGGUAAGACUCCAUUAAAUAUACUAAUAAUAUUGGGCAUUAAAAAUCAGCCAAUUCUGAGGGACUCGGGGAGGAAUUUUUUCAGAUUUGGUUUAUUUUAAAUGGAAUGUCCCAUGUGGGUAUAGUAAAAGACACGGGAUAGUAUUUUCAAUGGCCAUUGUAUCUUUAGUCUCUUCCUUACAGUUUAAAAUCUCUGAUGACUAGCUGAACCCUUUGUAGAUGGAAAAUUCACCUACUAAUCCAAGUCACAACCUCUCUUCCAAAUCAAUAAAAGGUAUCCUAGGGGGGUAGAAAACUGGCCUAUCUAGCAAUACUGCUAUUACCUCAGAGAACAUGUAGGGUGAUGACGUUAUCAGGCCAAAAGCAUGAGAUAAUGUUGGAGCUUCCACCAGCUGCAGUGAAUUCGGCAAUGUUUCCAUUAGAGUAAAUACUUUGGCAUGCAAUACAUGUGGCAACAGAGAGCCUCUAAUAAAAGGUUACUUUGAUCAAAUGAGUCACUCAUCAAAAAAUGGAGUGUUGUCUAACUCUAGAUGUCUAUUUUGUAACUUACAAAAGAUGAUGUAAAGUGCGUAUUUGGAUUGUUUACUCACCAGUGGUAGUGCAGUAAGUGUGAGUCAUACCUGUGUGUAAUGUUGUAAUGGGAUCCACUGUGCGACUUCACAGCCCAACAUGCUAAUAAUAGAAGGUAGAGUUUACACUGGCUUAGGUCAUCUGACAGGGACAUUCCUGGUUUCCAGGUUAUGCUGAAUGUUUCUGGGACCCCCUAAUCUUUCUAGCUCCACUAUCAGCCCAAAAUACUCCCUCAUACUUUAGAAAAUGUAAUUGUAUGUAUUAGAUGAGUGCCCUCAGGAAUCAAUGGCUGUGAUAUUAAUAAGGCUGUCAUGACAGCAAAGUUUUAGUGCUAUUUUUAUUUUUGCUUGUAAAAAAGAUUUUACAAACAUGGAUUACAACUGAGUGUACUCCAUCUACUUCUGUAAAUGAUGAGAUGCAGCUGAAAGUCCCAAAAACAAAGUUUGGGUUAAGGUUAUUUAGUCAAACUACUGAAUACCUUCUUCACACAACAUUUGUAGCUUGUACAUUGUAGAACCUAGUCUGCUCUGAUUGGACAAAAUACCACAUUUUGUGUGUGUGUGUGUGCGUGCGUGCAUGCGGAGAUGUAAUUUGUUGCUUGCAUGUUUUUAAUUUAGUUUGUUUUAAAAUGUUUAUUAUUUUAAAAUGCCCGGACUUCUUACUGACAUCACACUUUUGUCAACUUAUGGCCACUGGUUUGAUGUGCAAUAAACAUGCAUGUGUGUUACAAUAA